GUCUAUGGCCAUACCACCCUGAACACGCCCAAUCUCGUCUGAUCUUGGAAGCUAAGCAUGGUCGGGCCUGGUUAGUACUUGGAUGGGAGACCGCCUGGGAAUACCAGGUGCUGUAGGCU